UGUAAACAUGGAAAACUAUUUCUUGCCUUAUUCUAUAAGCGAACUACUGAAGCUGAAAUUAUAACAUGCAUACGAGAUUGACAAAAUAUUGAAAAUGAACUAACCAUUUUACAAAUUGAUUUAAACCCUCGUUCCUACAAUUGAUUUAAACUAAGGGAAUUUACAGCUAGAAAAUAUUAUCAACAUGGGUUCAAACAUUGGUCUAUAUGUUGCCUAACGGAAUCAAACACUGCCUAUUUAAAAUAUGCCUCAAAUACAAUGAACCAAUUAGAAAUGAAAUCUGACACCUAAUCCAUUAACUAUUGCAUUUACUAAUAAGAUACAGACUUACUGAUUUCAUUCCAACAACAUGCUUAAACUGUCACUGAUUUUUUAAAACUUCAAAAAAAUGUCAUUAUACCAACAAGGAGUACCUACAACUGGUACAUACAACCUAAUAGACUCAUUUUUUUGAAACUUCAGAAAUCAAACCAUAAGUGCUACUUUACAGUUUAUUAGAAGUUAUAGCCAACCCCCAUUACAAGACCAAGUUCCACUUGAAUAUGAAUUAAACUACAUUAUUCCAAUACAUGAUGUAAUCAACAAAAACUAGGAUUAACAACAACUAGGUCCACCUGCCUAUUGUAGGAAUUAGUUAACAGUUCCCAUAUUAACAAAAGACUCAAUCCAUUAACAAUAAACGAUUAUAUUAAAACAAAUAAAACUACUAAAUGAAGCCUAUCAGACACAUUUAAACUCCUGUAGCAAUUUCAUUUCGACUUCAACUUUGGAGAUACAUGGAAUUGAACGAAGAAAAGUGUACCUAGUAUUUGGAAACAAAAGCAGAAGAAAGUGAGAAAUCAGCAAGACAGUAGCAAACACAGCAACACUCAGCGACAAACAGCAAAACCUAUUAACAAACAGUAGGAGACAACCCAGGGACGGAUUUGAAAACCAAGCAGGAACCCAGGACACUCAAUGAAGCAGUACUCAAAACCAACAGAAAACCCAUGAAUAACAAUCUGAAACUCAAUAGUGCCAAAUGCAGUCCACAGAAGCAGUAACAGAGAUUUGAUUUCGGCAGUAAAGAAAAGGACCUCACUUUCAGUUUUUAUCUCUCAAAGACUGACCUUUUUUUUGUUCUGAAAAAUCAGCCUAUCUCUCAUUUUUAAGUUCUGAAAUUUUUGAUGUGUAAAUUCAGUCCCCUCUUCUGUCCUUAGUGUCCUCUAUUUAUAGGCUAGAACUAAAAAAAUUCUAUCCAAAGUUUUCAUUUUUUUCCAGUAUAUUCCCUCCUAUACCCUUUUAUCAUUCAGCGCACUUGCUUCUGCCUUUACAACCUUACAAGCACUAUGUUUUACAACCUUUUUCAGAAUGUCUUCUCUUUUCAGUCAUUUUGAAGUCUAAACCUCAUGUUAUUCUCUGUAGAACCAUUACCUCAUGUCCAACCAUUAUUUUAAUUCAAACUAAGUAUGACAUCCUGAAUUUUAAAUUCAGGCGUGCCUGACAACACAUGGUCUCCACUCAACCCCAGCAUUUCAACUCAGUAACUAACAGAUUCAAUCAACAACUAGAAGCAAACAACAAAUUCAUGAUAUUUAAACUGACCAAACAAUUCAAUCCUAUGUUAUUACUGACUACUCAAUGAAUUAAUAUCUAAACUUAAGCAUUCAGACAGACUAAUCAUUUAACAUUGUGACGCACUAAUCUCAUAUGAACAGACUGACAAGGUGAUUCCAAUGGUUUUGGACAAAAACAGGGAACUUGCACGAAACUAUUACUCGACGACAUUAAUCAAAUCGAAUGUAUAGUUUAUAAUACAUAUUUAACAAUGAAUAGGAGAAAAAUCGACCAAAUAAACGGUUUGGUUUGAGAAGAAGAAGAACGGAACGAUUGACAAAAAUUAGAAAAACCAAUAAACUAAACUAAAUGGAUAAACAGAUAUAUAUAUAUAUAUAUAUAUAUAUAUAUAUAUAUAUAUAUACACACACACAAACAUAGAAUAAAGGAGAAAGGAAAAAAAACACCUCAGAAAACAAGACGACUCAGUUCGAACUCAGACUCGACCACUUUGAGGUCGAACGGACCUUAGUCGAAGUGUUCUCACCUGAGAAGACUUUGAUUAAGGUCGAUUAUACCCCAAAUCUUCACUUAAUUUGACGGAUUACAGUUUUAGAAACUCUAGGGUUCUUACCGUUGAUUUGGGGCUCGAAGGUUUCUAGCAGAUUCGAAGGGAACCAACGUUGUCUAGGGUAUGAGGGAGGUCAGGGGGUGUUAUGGUGUGAAUUUGGGUCCGGUUGGAUUGUUUUGCAUUUUACUCGAAUCUUCAAUGAACUACGGAAUGAUUCGAGGAAAACGGUUAAGGGAUUCGUGUUCAGUGUGUCAAGGGGGUUAAGGGUAUUAGUUUGGUCUCCGGCGGCGGCGUUGCCGCCGGGUUUCUGGUGAAGGCCUGAGGGGGAGGCUAGGGUUUCGAAGGGGUAUGUUUGGAUUCAUCUCUGAGAGANNNNN
rnacentral:lncRNA from 1 species